GGCAAUCUUAUUUUAUGUCUCCUAUUUAAAAUAAAUAAAUAAAAUGAAAAGUAAUGGUUCCCAAGCAAACCAUAUAAUUACAUUUCUCUCUGGGUUCCUGAUUCAAGGUUCUUGUGGAAGAAGAGAAUAAAGAGCAUCUAGGAAUGAGGCAAAUGAUACUUCCAGUUUGGGUAUUUAUUUGCUCUGCAGCCGUGGCCUGAGCUUACCUGAACUCAGUUCUCAUUGGCUCCAUUCAGUGUUUGGGGGAAGCCUACCAUGGCCAGGCCCUGUGCUGACGCAGCCCUCAGUGCCAUCCUGCCUCUUGUAGCUCAGAUCAUGACAUGAAGAUCAGGCUUCCUCAUCCCAAAUUUCUUGCUUUCGCUGCCCUGGGACUACUAUAGGGAAAGCAGCAAGUUGGGAAGAAUGCAUGCAAGCUGUGGCUUAGGCAGACCUGGCGUGGAUCCCAGUGCUCAGCACUGCCUCUCAACAGCUGUUGACCCCUAGGAAUUUAUGGUCUGGUGGAGAAUCUGGCAGAUCAACAGACAAUUGCCAUCCUGGAAUGAACCCAGGGAAGAAGAAACUGAGACAUGGGAUAGUUAAGUAGUUUGCUGAAGAUCACAUGGCCAGAUAGUGAUGGAGUCAAGAUUUGAACCUGGGCGUGUGACUCUAGGACUGGGCAUUGGGCCCCUCUCCUACACUGCCUCCGAUCAUGAAUUAUAAAAUGGAAAUAAACGUAUUGUGUCCUUCCCGGUGUGUUGUGAUGUUCCAGUGGGAUAAUCGCUUGACAGCAAUGGGCACAGUGGCUGCAUGCAAAACAGUGUGAGCUACUGUAGGUGUGAUUUAUCAUGGCCUCUCUCUGGCCUUGCUACCCUUUCUGUUUCUCCUCAGCCUCCUUUAGAUGAUUCUCUGAACUUCACAAGACUUUCAGCUUCUUAGGUUAAGGACAUGAUGUCUAUUUGGCAUGUGUGGA
rnacentral:lncRNA from 1 species